rnacentral:rRNA from 1 species
AACGAACGCUGGCGGCAGGCCUAACACAUGCAAGUCGAACGAGCUGGGACCUUCGGGUCCCGAUGCUAGUGGCGCACGGGUGAGUAACACGUGGGAAUCUACCCAAUAGUACGGAAUAACUGAGGGAAACUUUGGCUAAUACCGUAUACGCCCUUCGGGGGAAAGAUUUAUCGCUAUUGGAUGAGCCCGCGUCUGAUUAGGUAGUUGGUGAGGUAACGGCUCACCAAGCCGACGAUCAGUAGCUGGUCUGAGAGGAUGAUCAGCCACACUGGGACUGAGACACGGCCCAGAUUCCUACGGGAGGCAGCAGUGGGGAAUAUUGGACAAUGGGCGCAAGCCUGAUCCAGCCAUGCCGCGUGAGUGAAGAAGGCCUUCGGGUUGUAAAGCUCUUUCGGCGGGGAAGAUGAUGACGGUACCCGCAGAAGAAGCCC